AAAACUUCCCAUUUGAUAGCAAAUAAGUUAAAAAGAAAAACCUUCUAAGUAAUAAUACAAUACCCAUAAUUAUAGAUAUUAGAUGAAUUAAAUAAAUAGCGUAAUAUAGACAAAUUAACAGUGAGCAAAUAAGAACAGUGAAGAAAUUAGAAAGCAGAUCAAAUGAUUGAAAGUAUUAGAGAUGGAAGAGAAGAUAAAAUUUUGGUGU
rnacentral:lncRNA from 1 species